AGAGUAUAGCUCAGUGGUAGAGCGUAUGCUUAGCAUAUAUGAGGUCAUAGGUUCAAUCCCCAGUACCUCUA
rnacentral:tRNA from 1 species